AACAGGGUAGCUCAGUUGUUAAGACAUUGGGUUACUGAUCAGAAGGUUGUGAGUUCAAAUCCCAGCCCUGCCA